rnacentral:rRNA from 1 species
UUUCUAAUAUUUUAAAGACACUAGUUGAACACUCGUCUGAUCACCAAAGUUAAAGAACGUCGAGCGUGGUCACUACUGGAUGGGUGAACGCCUGUGGACACUGACUGCCGUUGGCA